ensembl:lncRNA
CGGCGCCUGUCACUGCAGCCCAUUGAGCUGUCCCCGUUAUUGAAUGCGUCGGCGCUCAGAUGUUCAGCAUGCAUGGGACAUUGUCUGCCUGGCUGUUUGAGGCACUGGCAGCAGAAGGUGACAUCUGGUGACUAAUGGGCUCAGAUGUGAAAGCCGUUCCCACAGUUCCUCGGGCUGCAGCUGCUCUGCCACUGCGUGAGAUGCAGGAAACGGAGGGGAGAAUAUCAGUCGGAAAAAAUCAAUACCUUCUGAUUUCAGAGGAAGUAUAACGUGGCCUUGGCUGCAGACAUUUUCCCAUCCUUGGACUUCUGGUAAAUGAACAGACCACGCAGCUGAGCAUGGUAGUUUACUGUGUCUCCUGCUUUGCUUAUUUAAACUGAUCAACUUUUAACGAAAUGGCUGCACCUUAUGCAACAAAGAUGGACCCUUUCCAGACACAGUCCAGACUCUGCUCUGUUUCCCUUAUCAGAUAGGGGUCUGCCAGAGCCAAGUCAGUCUGGUUUCAGGGUGACUUCAGCUCAUGAUCAGAUGACGCUCUAACGCUUACGAAACUGAACCAGAGCGCUCUCUCUUUCCUCAUGGGCAGAUUUUAUCACUGACUCAGCUGACAUUGAGUUCAUCAAUCUCUUCAAGGAAAUGGGGCAUCUAAUCCACUUUAUGCGAGUGAGGCAUCUGCUGACUCAUGAUAAUGGCUUUCCAUGACCGACUACCAGUCUUCCAGUUCAGCAAUGGUGUUCCUGCAAGUUGAAAGAUGCUGAAAAAUGAUCCUGAUACACAGUCAAUGGGGGCCAACAUAAGAGCAAUAGACUGCAAGGCAUAGAGCGGAUAGAUCGCUUCAUGGAGGUAUGGGAUACCGCAGUGCAACUUCUGGCAUAGCUGCACACAUGCUGUGUGGCUUUGGCUGAAGUCCUGGCAUGCAGCGCUCAUUGUUUAACAAAGGAAGAUAUCCAGCUCUUUUUUUCCUGCUUCUGUGUGGUCUGUCAGAUACUUAUCAGAAGAAAUGUGAAUUGUAACUUGCUGCUCAGCCACAACAUGGACAUACUGUACCCCUUGGGAGGGAUUAUAUAUAUUCAAGCCAGAGAGAAUCUCCUGCAUUGCUUCUUCCCCUCCCAUGUGACGACUCUACUUUCUAAAUACAAGAAACUGUUCGAAGCAGGCUAACUGUGGAGGCUGCUUUGAUGUCCUGCCAUCACACUGAGCUGUGGAAAGCCUUCUUGUUGUCUUAUGUAGAGAGCAGUUGAGGAUAUCAAAGGGAAGAUGGGAUGUUAAAUUUUUAUUGAUGAAUGUUUAAUAGUCUGGGUUGUAAGCUGUCAUGAGUAAUGCAGUGAAAGAAUUCGUUCUGAAUCUUUCUGUUUGCCACACAGUGCCUGAAAGUGAUUAGUCUUUAAAGAGUACAAAUCUUUAUUUUUUUUCUCCAGCAAUUUAUUUUCUGCAGCAGAUUAAAAGAAAUCUAUCAUGAUACUUAGUAGAGAGUCAAGUGGGCACAUUAGGUUAAUGCACCAGCCUCUCUCAGCUUGAGACUUGAGUUUACAACAGGUUUACAACAAAAAAGCAAUGAAUUUAGCGCUGUUCUCUGAAAGCCAAUGUGGCAAGCUUGGCUGCAUCCAACUGGGCUUAGGGCCAUGCGUUUCCUGAGGUGCAACUCUAUAUCUCAUAAAGCUCAAAGUAUGUUGACAGAGCAAUAUGCAGAAACACUGAGCCCAAUCUGAAGGGUACAGCCCAAAGAUAGCGGAGGAUUGAGCUGUU